UAGCCUAGUGUUUAAGGCUAUGGAUCGCCAAUCCGUAGGCGGCGGGUUCGAUUCCCGU
rfam:Aedes albopictus isolate Foshan contig84795, whole genome shotgun sequence.